UGGGGAAUUUUGGACAAUGGGGGAAACCCUGAUCCAGCCAUCCCGCGUGUGCGAUGAAGGCCUUCGGGUUGUAAAGCACUUUUGGCAGGAAAGAAACGUCAUGGGUUAAUACCCCGUGAAACUGACGGUACCUGCAGAAUAAGCACCGGCUAACUACGUGCCAGCAGCCGCGGUAAUACGUAGGGUGCAAGCGUUAAUCGGAAUUACUGGGCGUAAAGCGUGCGCAGGCGGUUCGGAAAGAAAGAUGUGAAAUCCCAGAGCUCAACUUUGGAACUGCAUUUUUAUCUACCGGUCUAGAGUGUGUCAGAUGGAGGUGGAAUUCCGCGUGUAGCAGUGAAAUGCGUAGAUAUGCGGAGGAACACCGAUGGCGAAGGCAGCCUCCUGGGAUAACACUGACGCUCAUGCACGAAAGCGUGGGGAGCAAACAGG
rnacentral:rRNA from 1 species